CCUCUUCAUUCUAUAUUCAAUCAAAAUUCCAAUGAGUUCGCUCAUUUACAAAUUUAUCAAGUCCUUUCAAUUUCAAAAUCUCAUACACUACUUUUGUUCAAACUACAUUCAAAAACUGUAUAAAUUCCAUACUUGUCCAUGGCUUAGUUCAAAUUACAAGAUAUGUUCAAGUUCAUUCGAAGUUACAAAAAAAAACUUAAACCUAAUGAAGUCUAUCCUAAUUUUAAUCAUGCCCCAUGUUCCAAUCGACAUCAAACUGCCCGUCUUCUUGCUGAAUUAA